AGAAUCAACGCUGGCGGCGUGCCUAACACAUGCAAGUCGAACGCGAAAGGGGAGCAAUCCCUGAGUAGAGUGGCAAACGGGUGAGUAACACGUGGGUGACCUGCCUUCGAGGGGGGGAUAACGUUCCGAAAGGAACGCUAAUACCGCAUGACAUCCUGCUUUUGGAAAAGCGGAGAUCAAAGCUGGGGAUUCGCAAGAACCUAGCGCUUGAAGAGGGGCCCGCGCCUGAUUAGCUAGUUGGUGAGGUAACGGCUCACCAAGGCUACGAUCAGUA
rnacentral:rRNA from 1 species